AGGCUCUGGUAAAUGAGGAAAAUAAUCAGUCUAUUUCCUGGAACUCCAGAAAUUACCUUAAGCUUUUGUAGCAGGUGAACUCAGGACUGGACUUGAAGGAUGGGGAACAUGCUAAUGAAUGUUUACAUCUAGUGCCAUUAGCCAUAGAUACCAAUCGAAAACCAUCACUACCUCUUACAUUUUCCAUGUAGUAUGGCUUCAUGCAGUGAUCUCAACAUACAUACAGAAUUCAGAGAUAAGUAGUUAUACUUCAGAUUGGACAAGGUCUUGUAGUGAAACAAUUUUAUAAAGUCCUUAUCUCUUUAUAUUGACUAUGAGGAAACACUCAGAGACGUUCUUUACUGACUUUGACUUUACUGGAGAUCAGCAAUUUGACUUUACUGGAGAUGAAGGUGUUUUUGUUUAGUAUGCCAGUAGUGAAUAUUCUGUAUUUCACAGUUUUCUGAUUAGCAGGGGGAAAAAUUAAUCUAGAGUAACUGAAUAAACAAUAUACUUUAUUU